CCUACGGGAGGCUGCAGUGAGGAAUAUUGGUCAAUGGGCGGAAGCCUGAACCAGCCAAGUAGCGUGCAGGAUGACGGCCCUACGGGUUGUAAACUGCUUUUAUACGGGAAUAACGCGCCUUACGUGUAGGGCUUUGCAUGUACCGUAUGAAUAAGGACCGGCUAAUUCCGUGCCAGCAGCCGCGGUAAUACGGAAGGUCCGGGCGUUAUCCGGAUUUAUUGGGUUUAAAGGGAGCGUAGGCCGCAUGUCAAGCGUGCUGUGAAAUGUCCGGGCUCAACCCGGGCCUUGCAGGUCGAACUGGCGGGCUUGAGUGCGCGGGAGGUAGGCGGAAGUCGUGGGGUAGCGGGGAAAUGCUUAGAUAUGACGAAGAACCCCGAUUGCGAAGGCAGCUUGCUGGAGCGGAACUGACGCUGAUGCUCGAAAGCGCGGGUAUCGAACAGGAUUAGAUACCCUUGUAGUC
rnacentral:rRNA from 1 species